rnacentral:lncRNA from 1 species
UGUGUGCUGCUCUUUCUUGUUGCCGUUUGUUGGGUUGUAGGGGGUACUGUGCGGGUCCCUUUGCUUUGAUUUUUUCACUGUUUCCAUUUUUUCUUUUUUUUUAUUUGUUUCUACUACUAUCAACGCUGGGUUUGUUUGUGAGUUUAUUACUCUAUGACCUGGUUGCGUUAAAGCUCAGGUGUCCUUUUAAUAAUAUAUAUAAGUUCAUUUAUUAAAAAAUCUUCAAUUCACCAUAAUAUUCUAUUCGAGCAUAGGUAUGUUAUCUACCCAAAACAAG